rnacentral:tRNA from 1 species
GUGGGCGUAGCUCAGUUGGUCAGAGCACCAGGCUGUGGACCUGGGGGUCGUGGGUUCGAGUCCCACCGUCCACCCCA